rnacentral:rRNA from 1 species
GAUGAACGCUAGCUACAGGCUUAACACAUGCAAGUCGAGGGACCUGCGUACGGGUGAGUAACGCGUAUCCAACCUUCCCAUUACUGUGGGAUAACCUGCCGAAAGGCAGACUAAUACCGCAUAGUAAUGGCUGGGGAUGCGUCUGAUUAGCUUGUUGGCGGGGUAACGGCCCACCAAGGCGACGAUCAGUAGGGGUUCUGAGAGGAAGGUCCCCCACGUUGUACGUGAGACACGGUCCAAACUCGUACUGGAGGCAGCAGUAAUGAAUAUUGGUCAAUGGACGGAAGUCUGAACUAGCCAAGUAGCGUGAAGGAUGACGGCCUAUGGGUUUUAAACUGCUUUUGUAUGGGGAUAGGUACCAUAUGAAUAAGGACCGGCUAAUUCCGUGAGAGCAGCCGCGGUAAUAC